rnacentral:ribozyme from 13 species
AUUCUUUUUUUUCUUUUUUUUCUUUUUUUUCUAUUUGAGGGCUCUCCGUUGUCGCUGAAUUCAUAG